UACGUAGGGUGCAAGCGUUGUCCGGAAUUAUUGGGCGUAAAGAGCUCGUAGGCGGUUUGUCGCGUCUGCUGUGAAAAUCCAGGGCUUAACCCUGGACCUGCAGUGGGUACGGGCAGACUGGAGUGCGGUAGGGGAGAUCGGAAUUCCUGGUGUAGCGGUGAAAUGCGUAGAGAUCGGGAGGAACACCAGCGGCGAAGGCGGCUUACUGGACAGUUACGUGACGCUCAUGCACGAAAGCGUGGGGAGCAAACAGG
rnacentral:rRNA from 1 species